UGUAAUGUUACUGCAGAAGGAAGGC
rnacentral:piRNA from 1 species